rnacentral:rRNA from 1 species
GUGUCAGCCGCCGCGGUAAGACGUAGGGCGCAAGCGUUGUCCGGAUUUAUUGGGCGUAAAGAGCUCGUAGGCGGCCUGUCGCGUCGACUGUGAAAACUCACGGCUUAACCGUGGGACUGCAGUCGAUACGGGCAGGCUAGAGUUCGGUAGGGGAGACUGGAAUUCCUGGUGUAGCGGUGAAAUGCGCAGAUAUCAGGAGGAACACCGGUGGCGAAGGCGGGUCUCUGGGCCGAUACUGACGCUGAGGAGCGAAAGCGUGGGGAGCGAACAGGAUUAGAUACCCGCGUAGUCC